UUUUCCCUCUCCUCGCGCACGCGCGGUGCGGCCCGAUCCCAGCAUGCCCCGCGGCUUAUAAAAGCGCGCGGCGAGCCAUGCUUCGGCCAUUUUGCGCGCGGCGCUGAGUGGGUGAGGAGGUCGUGUGCUUCGGCUGCGGGGCGCCGGCGUUCGCCCAGAGCGCUCCUUCAGCCCCAAACGGCCGCCCUGUGCUGAAGGUGCGUCCCAGUGUCCUUCU
rnacentral:lncRNA from 1 species